rnacentral:tRNA from 1 species
GGCUCCAUCGUCUAACAGGAAUAGGACGUUGCCCUUUCAAGGCAGAAAUGGGAGUUCAAGUCUCCUUGGAGCUG